rnacentral:rRNA from 1 species
CAGUCGCCGCGGGAAUACGUAGGUGGCAAGCGUUGUCCGGAAUUAUUGGGCGUAAAGCGCGCGCAGGCGGAUCAGUCAGUCUGUCUUAAAAGUUCGGGGCUUAACCCCGUGAUGGGAAAGAAACUAUGUGUCUUGAGUACAGGAGAGGAAAGCGGAAUUCCCAGUGUAGCGGUGAAAUGCGUAGAUAUUGGGAGGAACACCAGUGGCGAAGGCGGCUUUCUGGACUGCAACUGACGCUGAGGCUCGAAAGCCAGGGGAGCGAACGGGAUUAGAUACCCCUGUAGUCCCUGUCUCUUAUACC